CGCGCUCACCGCCUGCGUCUCCGCCUGGCGGACACCCGCGCUUUUUCCGGAAGGAGCGGCCCCAGCUCCCACAGCAGACAUGAGCUUGGCAGAAAAGCUCUGUUCCACACAGUCUUUCAGGGACCCACGCUCCUUGCAAUUAAUGGUUCCGUCGUUCUCUAAGGCCUUACCAGGAUCCUGUGCAUUUAGCUGACAUAAGGGAAAGAGAAAAGAGGCUUGCUACAGGCCAAGCCUAAAGAAAGGAAGAUGAAUGUUUUAUGAAGUAUCAAACAUUAACUCCAAUCAUUCCUAAAUGAUGCUUAUUGUGUGGAACAUUGAAAAGAACAGACACUUAACAAUUCAGCAUAUCUGAUUGGAGACUUUAGCAAGGUAUUUGGAUUAGUCAAUAUUGUA